rnacentral:rRNA from 1 species
UACGAAGGGUGCAAACGUUGCUCGGAAUCAUUGGGCGUAAAGCGCACGUAGGCGCCUUGCAAGUCGGAUGUGAAAUCCCACGGCUCAACCGUGGACGUGCAUCCGAAACUGCUCGGCUCGAGUAUGGAAGAGGGUCGCGGAAUUCCCGGUGUAGAGGUGAAAUGCGCAGAUAUCGGGAGGAACACCAGUAGCGAAGGCGGCUCUCUGGGCCGGUACCGACGCUGAGGAGCGAAAGCUAGGGGAGCGAACAGG